rnacentral:rRNA from 1 species
GACGAACGCUGGCGGCGUGCCUAAUACAUGCAAGUCGAGCGCAUGACGAGGAGCUUGCUCCUCUGAUUGAGCGGCGGACGGGUGAGUAACACGUGGGCAACCUGCCCUGUAGACGGGGAUAACUUCGGGAAACCGGAGCUAAUACCGGAUAAUCCUCUUCCCCACAUGGGGAAGAGUUGAAAGGCGCUUUCGCGUCACUACAGGAUGGGCCCGCGGUGCAUUAGCUAGUUGGUGGGGUAACGGCCUACCAAGGCGACGAUGCAUAGCCGACCUGAGAGGGUGAUCGGCCACAUUGGGACUGAGACACGGCCCAAACUCCUACGGGAGGCAG